UACCAGCACCCCGAGUGGUCGGGACGAUUAUUGGGCCUAAAGCAUCCGUAGCCGGUUUUACAAGUCCUCCGUUAAAUCCACCCGCUCAACGGUUGGGCCGCGGGGGAUACUACAGGGCUAGGAGGCGGGAGAGGCAAGCGGUACUCGAUGGGUAGGGGUAAAAUCCACUGAUCCAUUGAAGACCACCAGUGGCGAAGGCGGCUUGCCAGAACGCACUCGACGGUGAGGGAUGAAAGCUGGGGGAGCAAACCGG
rnacentral:rRNA from 1 species